UACGUAGGUGGCAAGCGUUGUCCGGAAUUAUUGGGCGUAAAGCGCGCGCAGGCGGUCCUUUAAGUCUGAUGUGAAAGCCCACGGCUCAACCGUGGAGGGUCAUUGGAAACUGGGGGACUUGAGUGCAGGAGAGAAGAGUGGAAUUCCACGUGUAGCGGUGAAAUGCGUAGAGAUGUGGAGGAACACCAGUGGCGAAGGCGACUCUUUGGCCUGUAACUGACCGCUGGAGGCGCGAAAGCGUGGGGAGCAAA
rnacentral:rRNA from 1 species